GAUGGACCCGCGGCGCAUUAGCUAGUUGGUGAGGUAACGGCUCACCAAGGCGACGAUGCGUAGCCGACCUGAGAGGGUGAUCGGCCACACUGGGACUGAGACACGGCCCAGACUCCUACGGGAGGCAGCAGUAGGGAAUCUUCCGCAAUGGACGAAAGUCUGACGGAGCAACGCCGCGUGAGUGAUGAAGGUUUUCGGAUCGUAAAACUCUGUUGUUAGGGAAGAACAAGUACCGUUCGAAUAGGGCGGCACCUUGACGGUACCUAACCAGAAAGCCACGGCUAACUACGUGCCAGCAGCCGCGGUAAUACGUAGGUGGCAAGCGUUGUCCGGAAUUAUUGGGCGUAAAGCGCGCGCAGGCGGUUUCUUAAGUCUGAUGUGAAAGCCCCCGGCUCAACCGGGGAGGGUCAUUGGAAACUGGGGAACUUGAGUGCAGAAGAGGAGAGUGGAAUUCC
rnacentral:rRNA from 1 species